rnacentral:rRNA from 1 species
GACGAACGCUGGCGGCGUGCUUAACACAUGCAAGUCGAACGAAGUGGCGAACGGGUGGGUAACGCGUAAUCAACCUGCACUUCAGAGGGGGACAACAGUUGGAAACGACUGCUAAUACCGCAUACUGAAGGAGGGGAUUGCGUCUGAUUGGCUAGUUUGAGGGGUAACGGCCCACCAAGGCGAAGAUGAGUAGCCGGUGUGAGAGUAUGAACGGACACAUUGGGACUGAGACUCGGCCCAGACUCCUACGGGAGGCAGCAGUGGGGAAUCUUCCGCAAUGGACGAAAGUCUGACGGAGCAACGCCGCGUGAGUGAUGACGGCCUUCGGGUUGUAAAGCUCUGUUAAUCGGGACGCGGUACCGGAAUAGAAAGCCACGGCUAACUACGUGCCAGCCGCCGCGGUAAUAC